CCUACGGGAGGCUGCAGUCAAGAAUAUUCCUCAAUGCACGAAAGUGUGAAGGAGCGACGCCGCGUGAUCGAAGAAGUCCUUCGGGAUGUAAAAAUCUUUUCUCUGGGACGAACUAAUGACGGUACCAGAGGAAUAAGGGGUUGCUAAACUCGUGCCAGCAGCCGCGGUAAU
rnacentral:rRNA from 1 species